GACACACAAAGGCAAGGAGGCUUCAGGAUGUCUGGGAAACUGUGAGAAGUUGGUUAAUAUCUGGUCAGAGGCACUGAAAGAGAACACAGGGCUGAUUCCUUGACCUUUUGCAGUUCAUAGUCUAGUGAGGAAUACGAAUAAUUACAAAGGUGCGUUGACAAUUUGGGUAAAAUUCGGUUAGUUUUGGGAAGGAGGCACUUUUAGAAAGACUCUUUUACAGCCCUCAGCACUGUUAUUGCGUGAACUGGCUCAGCAUGGCCGGCCCAGUGAAGGACGCCAGUGGUAGUAACCGGGGAAGAGGGAUCCCCUGGCUCUUCUUACCAAACUUCUUCGAUCGUUUGGAGUGGUUUGGCCAUCAGUUAGUCAGGAAGAGGCCAGAAGGACACGUGCUGAUAAUGCUUCAAGAAAGUUAAACUUUAGGAAAAACUCGACCGAAGUAAAAAUAGCUAUGUAGUCAGUGACCAAAGCUACUUGGAUGGUCCUGUUGAUUGCUCUUG
rnacentral:lncRNA from 1 species